rnacentral:rRNA from 1 species
AGCGAACGCUGGCGGCAGGCUUAACACAUGCAAGUCGAGCGCCCCGCAAGGGGAGCGGCAGACGGGAGAGUAACACGUGGGAACGUACCCUUUAGUUCGGAACAACCCAGGGAAACUUGGGCUGAUACCGGAUACGUCCGUAAGGAGAAAGAUUUAUCGCUAAAGGAUCGGCCCGCGUCUGAUUAGCUAGUUGGUGAGGUAACGGCUCACCAAGGCGACGAUCAGUAGCUGGUCUGAGAGGAUGAUCAGCCUCACUGGGACUGAGACACGGCCCAGACUCCUACGGGAGGCAGCAGUGGGGAAUAUUGGACAAUGGGCGCAAGCCUGAUCCAGCCAUGCCGCGUGGGUGAUGAAGGCCCUAGGGUUGUAAAGCCCUUUCGGCGGGGAAGAUAAUGACGGUACCCGCAGAAGAAGCCCCGGCUAACUUCGAGCCAGCCGCCGCAGUAA